rfam:Alligator mississippiensis ScZkoYb_2654, whole genome shotgun sequence.
GGGGAUGUAGCUCAGUAGUAGAGCACCUGCUUCGCAUGUAGGAGGUCCUGGAUUCAAUCCCCAGCAUCUCCA